AACGAACGCUGGCGGCAGGCUUAACACAUGCAAGUCGAACGAUUAAAGCACCUUCGGGUGUGUAUAAAGUGGCAAACGGGUGAGUAACACGUGGGAAUGUACCCUUCGGUUCGGGACAACCAUUGGAAACGAUGGCUAAUACCGGAUACGAACUACGGUUGAAAGAUUUAUCGCCGAGGGAUCAGCCCGCGCUAGAUUAGCUAGUUGGUGAGGUAAUGGCUCACCAAGGCAACGAUCUAUAGCUGGUUUGAGAGGAUGAUCAGCCACACUGGGACUGAGAUACGGCCCAGACUCCUACGGGAGGCAGCAGUGAGGAAUAUUGGACAAUGGAGGAAACUCUGAUCCAGCCAUGCCGCGUGAGUGAUGAAGGCCCUAGGGUUGUAAAACUCUUUCAGAUGUGAAGAUAAUGACAUUAGCAUCAGAAGAAGCCCCGGCUAACUUCG
rnacentral:rRNA from 1 species